UACGUAUGGUGCAAGCGUUAUCCGGAUUUACUGGGUGUAAAGGGAGCGCAGGCGGCACGGCAAGCCUGAUGUGAAAGCCCGCGGCCCAACCGCGGGACUGCAUUGGGAACUACCGGGCUGGAGUGCCGGAGAGGUAGGCGGAAUUCCUAGUGUAGCGGUGAAAUGCGUAGAUAUUAGGAGGAACACCAGUGGCGAAGGCGGCCUACUGGGCGGUGACUGACGCUGAGGCUCGAAAGCGUGGGGAGCAAACAGG
rnacentral:rRNA from 1 species